UUCAAACCUGGGCACCAUCCAGGUUCCCCCAAUUCGCUGAAAGAACAGUGCCUUCUAUUGUGUCUUGGAAAAUUCCAGGAAAAUUUGCUUCUCUCCUCAGUGUGAAUAACAGCACGGUCCAGCCAGCUUCUUCUCGGUUCACAAGAGGCCCACGUGAGGACAGAGACGUUACGAGAAGAACAGCGCCAGGGGACGAAAAGGGAGCCAUGAUAACGUUUAAAAGCAACGGAUGACCCAUCUGUGAAUGCUCCUCAAGAAACCAGUCAAGAUAGGAGGUGAAUCUACGUGCUGGCAGCUGUCGAGAUUGGUUGGAGGGAAGUCUUCAAGACAUCAUGAGUACCUGGGGUCCUGGCAGUGGAGACGAGGCCUCCUAAUCAUGGAAUCCCACAUUAUCCGUGACUGGAGAUGCAGGAUGCUCCUGUGGCAAGAUCAGCAGAGGCUCCUUCCCAGAAAAGACAAAGCGAUCGAAACUGAGAAAAAAAUAUUCAAGUGUGACAAAAAAAUUGAACCCAUCAAGUUUUUCCAAAUACGGUAGUCCACCCCUCGUCUGAGUUCCGACUUCCACGAUUUCAGUUACCCACGGUCAGGGGGGAUCCGGAAGCAGAUGAUCCCCCUCCUCAGGGAUAAUCUAAAGGUCAGUAGUAGCCUUACUUACUUACCACAUCACAGUGCCUACCUCAUUCACCUCACCUCAUCCCAUUGUGUAGACAUUUUAUCAUCAUCUCAUGUCAUCACAAGAAGAAGGGUGAGUAGCGUACAGUAAGAUACUUGGGGGGAGAGAGAGAGAGAGAGAGAGAGAGAGAGAGACCACAUUGAC
rnacentral:lncRNA from 1 species